rnacentral:rRNA from 1 species
GAGUUUGAUCCUGGCUCAGGACGAACGCUGGCGGCGUGCUUAACACAUGCAAGUCGAACGGAAAGGCCCCUUCGGGGGUGCUCGAGUGGCGAACGGGUGAGUAACACGUGGGUGAUCUGCCCUGCACUUUGGGAUAAGCCUGGGAAACUGGGUCUAAUACCGGAUAGGACCACGGUCUGCAUGGGCUGUGGUGGAAAGCGUUUGCGGUGUGGGAUGGGCCCGCGGCCUAUCAGCUUGUUGGUGGGGUGAUGGCCUACCAAGGCGACGACGGGUAGCCGGCCUGAGAGGGUGUCCGGCCACACUGGGACUGAGAUACGGCCCAGACUCCUACGGGAGGCAGCAGUGGGGAAUAUUGCACAAUGGGCGCAAGCCUGAUGCAGCGACGCCGCGUGGGGGAUGACGGCCUUCGGGUUGUAAACCUCUUUCACUGCCGACGAAGCGCAAGUGACGGUAGGCAGAGAAGAAGCACCGGCCAACUACGUGCCAGCAGCCGCGGUAAUACGUAGGGUGCGAGCGUUGUCCGGAAUUACUGGGCGUAAAGAGCUCGUAGGUGGUUUGUCGCGUUGUUCGUGAAAACCGGGGGCUUAACCUCUGGCGCGCGGGCGAUACGGGCAGACUGGAGUACUGCAGGGGAGACUGGAAUUCCUGGUGUAGCGGUGGAAUGCGCAGAUAUCAGGAGGAACACCGGUGGCGAAGGCGGGUCUCUGGGCAGUAACUUCACGCCGUAAACGGUGGGUACUAGGUGUGGGUUUCCUUCCUUGGGAUCCGUGCCGUAGCUAACGCAUUAAGUACCCCGCCUGGGGAGUACGGCCGCAAGGCUAAAGCUCAAAGGAAUUGACGGGGGCCCGCACAAGCGGCGGAGCAUGUGGAUUAAUUCGAUGCAACGCGAAGAACCUUACCUGGGUUGACAUGCACAGGACGGCCGUAGAGAUACGGUUUCCCUUGUGGCCUGUGUGCAGGUGGUGCAUGGCUGUCGUCAGCUCGUGUCGUGAGAUGUUGGGUUAAGUCCCGCAACGAGCGCAACCCUUGUCUCAUGUUGCCAGCGGGUGAUGCCGGGGACUCGUGAGAGACUGCCGGGGUCAACUCGGAGGAAGGUGGGGAUGACGUCAAGUCAUCAUGCCCCUUAUGUCCAGGGCUUCACACAUGCUACAAUGGCCGGUACAAAGGGCUGCGAUGCCGUGAGGUGGAGCGAAUCCUUUCAAAGCCGGUCUCAGUUCGGAUCGGGGUCUGCAACUCGACCCCGUGAAGUCGGAGUCGCUAGUAAUCGCAGAUCAGCAAUGCUGCGGUGAAUACGUUCCCGGGCCUUGUACACACCGCCCGUCACGUCAUGAAAGUCGGUAACACCCGAAGCCGGUGGCCUAACCCCGUGUGGGAGGGAGCCGUCGAAGGUGGGAUCGGCGAUUGGGACGAAGUCGUAACAAGGUAGCCGUACCGGAAGGUGCGGCUGGAUCACCUCCUUUCU